UUAUAACGCCUCUGUCGCUUUGUUUCCAGGCUCAGCCCCCGCUAUGGAGCCGUUACCACCGGGGUGCGGGGGGUUUUGAAGCCCCAAGUCACUAUGAAUGAACCCCAGGAUGGACAGUGGGGCUGUGCAUGAGGCCGCUGGCCCCCGAUGAGGAAAACCCCACGCGUCUGACCCCCCCCUGGCCACCAGGACCUGCCCAAGGUCGAACCCACUGGUGCUGGCGGGGGGAGGGGAGGAGGAUGCUGUGUCCCGAUGGACGGUCUGAGGGGGCCGGGGAGGGGGGUUGGUUUUGGGAUGUCCCCCACCCCCUCC